UUAAAAACCAAUUGUUCAAAGAACAAUUGAAGGUCUUUCCACAUCAAUUUUCUAAAUAAUUGAUGAGAAGCUAAUUCUGGUUUACUCAAAGCUACUAUUGGCGUCCAAUCAUAGGUUUCUUCAUACUGAUUCAAUAAACAUAUGGUUUCUAUAGACUUUUGCCUGAAAUAAGGGAGAUAAUUGUCAACUUCCGGUUUAGAAAAUAACACUUCCGGUCUCAUAUGAUAGCUUUAAUUACACUGAUUCCAAAAAUAUAUGGUUUAUAUAUACUUUUGCCUGUAAAAAGGAAGAUAAUUGGCUACUUCCGGUUUAGAAAAUGUCACUUCCGGUCUCAUAUGAUAUAUUUAUUUACACUGAUUCCAAAAAUAUAUGGUUUAUAUAUACUUUUGCCUGUAAAAAGGGAGAUAAUUGGCUACUUCCGGUUUAGAAAAUGUCACUUUCGGUCUCAUAUGAUAGCUUUAUUUACACUGAUUCAAAAAAUAUAUGGUUUAUAUAUACUUAUGCCUGUAAUAAUGGAGAUAAUAUGGUACUUCCGGUUUAUAAAAUAUCAUUUCCGGUCUCAAAUGAUAGAUUAAUGUAUGACCAUUCAAAAAAUAUAUGGUUUCUAUGUACUUCUACAUGAAAUAAGUGCAAAAAUGACCACUUCCGGUUCACUCAAUGUCACUUCCGGUUGACAUUUUUCAAGGUCAUAUGUCACCCAACAUUUUGCAAAAGAUCUUAUGGCUUUAUCAUGUACCAAUAUGAAGUAAUAAUCAAUUUACCUUAAAAUAAAACAUUUCAGGGGCAAUAACUCCAAUAAGAUGUCGCUGGAUUGUCUCAGACCAAAUGUAUCAUAUCUUCA